CGGGUCAAGAGCCCCUCCAAACACACGCAUAACCAACUAACUGGGUCUUGACAUCGAACAUAACCCAGUUCCUAAUUUAUUAAAACACUUGUUCAAGUCAAGCCCAACCCACUAACUAAACUCACCUAUAUAAGAGAACUAAACCCUAAACUACACUUGAUCAGCCGCAGACAACAAGGUUUCCCUUCUGAUGUCUUUGUUGUCUGCUAAUACACACCUUACCCACAAAAAAAAAGAAAAUGGAAGUGCAGACUUCAUCUUCACAAAGAUAAACCACAACAUCCUCAACCAUCACCCACCCCCUCUUCUCAUCGUCCUCUUGAUACUCUCUAGUGACGGAGCCGCCGAUAGCGGCGGCAGUGGUGGUGAGCGACGGCUGGCCAAGGAAGCAAGGAGACGGAGAGAGACCGAAGGUCUAGUGGCGACGACAGAACCGCCACAUACGGCGACGGAGGUGGUUGUUUGAUUCGGAUUCGAUGUGGUUUCGGGAGACACAGUUCAGCUUCGUACAAAUUAACUCAAGUUCAGCUCAGGUUUCGGGUACACAUCGAUCGUUAGAAUCGGGUCUCACGGCAUGAGUUAGUCGGCCCAGGUCAGUCGCAAGCUACGGUUGUUUCGGAGCCUUGGCUCGGCUCAGUUCUGGCGCGGUUUAGUUUUGGCUCCGUUCAGCUUCGGUUCGAGAUGUUGUUAAAGGCAGUCGACUCGUCAUUUUGUCCGGAUUUUCUCCAUCUUCACUCGCGCGUAUUUCAAGGAGUUCUCAUACGCAACCAAUGUGAUUCGAGGUGAUUUACAAGGCGCAAAUACCAAGAAGUUGAAAUUUGUGGUCAAAAUGUUUGAUGAACAGGAAAACGUUAAACUUGAAAGACUAAACGAUUGGUAUAGUUGUUUUGGUGAGAAAAAGGAAGUUUUGGUUGAAAAUUUUGGAUGUUUCUUGAGUAAGAAAAAUGAAACAGUUAUUAAAUUGGAAAAACGAUUUGAAAGCUUGAUUGACA